AUGGAAAAACCCACUGUUCCUUUCCUGUGGAAGACUUUGUUUUGCUACCAGCACAGCUGUGCAAUUUCAGACAAUCCUUUCAUCUUCCUGAGCUUUAGGUUCAUCAUGCUAUUGAUGAUGAUGGUGGUGGUGAUGAUGAUGAUGAAGAAGAAGAGGAAGGAGCAGCAGCAGAAGCAGCAUACUUGCCCUAAGUUGCUUCUACUUCAAUUUCUGGUCCUUUCCUAAGGCUGAGUUGAAGGCUGCGUCAUCAGAAGCUUGGUAAGUGUGGGUGACUGGCCUUGGCUUGGAAGCUGCUGAGAAGUUCAAGUGGGAAGGGCCCCAGAGAGUCAAGUGAGUGCUUUCAGUUUUUAGAGUUUGGCAUCAUGGGAAUUUGCCUGGCCUGCUGGAUGGAGAGAGGCUGACUUGGAUUUUGUGGGCUUGGAAAGACAGUCAAAAGACUCUUCCUUUCUCUGAAAUAGCUGUGCAUUUGUUUAAAGACUUGAAAUGGUUCUGAUGCUGGAAAGUCCCUCUGUGUUUAUUUUCACAUCUGGGUGAUGGUCUUCUGCCACUGAAGGACUUUUAAUGAAUCACUUCAGAGAUUGCUUUUAAUGUUUCCCAGAUGAGAGGGGACUGGCGCUUGUCUUUUUUUUUUUUCU
rnacentral:lncRNA from 1 species